rnacentral:tRNA from 1 species
GGUAGAAUGGCUGAGGUAAGCGGCGGAUUGUAAUCCCGACAAGGAAGGUGAAAGUCCUUUUUCUAUCA